UCCUACGGGAGGCAGCAGUGGGGAAUAUUGCACAAUGGGCGAAAGCCUGAUGCAGCGACGCCGCGUGAGGGAUGAAGGCCUUCGGGUUGUAAACCUCUUUCAGCAGGGAAGAAGCGCAAGUGACGGUACCUGCAGAAGAAGCGCCGGCUAACUACGUGCCAGCAGCCGCGGUAAUACGUAGGGCGCAAGCGUUGUCCGGAAUUAUUGGGCGUAAAGAGCUCGUAGGCGGUUUGUCGCGUCUGGUGUGAAAACUCGAGGCUCAACCUCGANNNGCUUGCAUCGGGUACGGGCAGACUAGAGUGCGNGUAGGGGAGACUGGAAUUCCUGGUGUAGCGGUGGAAUGCGCAGAUAUCAGGAGGAACACCGAUGGCGAAGGCAGGUCUCUGGGCCGCANACUGACGCUGAGGGAGCGAAAGCAUGGGGAGCGAACAGGAUUAGAUACCCUGGUAGUCCAUGCCGUAAACGUUGGGCACUAGGUGUGGGGCUCAUUCCACGAGU
rnacentral:rRNA from 1 species